rnacentral:rRNA from 1 species
UACGUAGGGCGCGAGCGUUGUCCGGAAUCAUUGGGCGUAAAGAGCUCGUAGGCGGCCGGUUGCGUCUGCUGUGAAAUCCCGGGGCUUAACCCCGGGUCUGCAUUCGAUACGGGCCUGCUAGGGUCCGGCAGGGGAGACUGGAAUUCCUGGUGUAGCGGUGAAAUGCGCAGAUAUCAGGAGGAACACCUAUUGCGAAGGCAGCUCGCUGGGACGUAACUGACGCUGAGGCGCGAAAGCGUGGGGAGCAAACAGG